UACGAAGGGUGCAAACGUUGCUCGGAAUUAUUGGGCGUAAAGCGCACGUAGGCGGCUUGGCAAGUCGGAUGUGAAAUCCCUCGGCUCAACCAAGGAAGUGCAUCCGAAACUGCUGAGCUUGAGUACUUAAGAGGAUCGCGGAAUUCCCGGUGUAGAGGUGAAAUUCGUAGAUAUCAGGAGGAACACCAGUGGCGAAGGCGGCGAUCUGGGAAGAUACUGACGCUGAGGUGCGAAAGCGUGGGGAGCAAACAGG
rnacentral:rRNA from 1 species